GGGGCUCGCGGCGCGCAGGCGGCCGCGUCCCGGCGACAGCCCCGAGAGCAGCGGGGCGGGUUGAGGAGCGGCGUGUCUUUGCUCCUCGGUGCUCCGGUACCUGUCCGCGGCGCUCAGAUUUUGGAAACCUGAGCUGAAGUAUCGUGUGACUUACAGCGUGAUAACUACACCAAAAAUUCUCCAACAUCUUGUCUUUGACGUGAUCCACUGAUCGGAAUCUGCUUGGUCACAGAUCAGAAAGGUAGGGCGCCUGUGUAUUUGAAUGGGGUUUUAAGGAUGUGGGAUUGAAUGUGAAGCAGGGUGUGGAUUGCUCUUUGUUUUCUGUGGCUUUUUUUUUCUGUUUUGUUUUAGACAAUAAUUAGUGUUCUUCAUUUUACUGAACUGUGCUCUGUUGCAGCUUUGUAUACAUUUUUUUAAUUGUUAGGGCAGGCGCUCUGAAGUUAUUUUUGAUGUGUAUGCAUAUGCUCUGGCUAUUUAAUUAGCCCUUUAAGCUGCAGCUACCAAAGGGUGAGACAGAAAGCUGAGCGCUUGCCUUGCUUCAUUCUAGCUGGGCUACAGACCCAUCUCCAUUUGUAUUGGGCGUGGGGGCUGUCUAAGAUUGGUUUCAGCAUCCGUGCAGUGCUUGCAGUCUCACAAGAACAGGGUUAAACUCGGUGCCUUGCUCAGAGCAGGUACAAUCUAUCACACCGGCAGAAAGCAUAGUGCUGUUUUCAUGCUGUAUCGCUUUCACGAAGGAGGGAAACUUCUUUUAACCCAUUCGCUGCUGUAAGGAAUUGGUGUUGCUCAGCUUGGGGCUUUAUGUACAGCAUCUCAGCAGCCUGGCUGGGCGGAGCAGUGCUGGCAGAGCUUCUAUCUGAUGGCUUUUUGAGCUCCCAGACCUUCAGAAAUCAUUUAUAUGUGGCGAAAUAAAGCAGAUAGACCGGGAUUUUUCUGACAGUGUCGUUGCUAGUUCCCAAGAGAAGUUUGUUAUCCACUGUCCCCUAAUACCUUUUGGCUUUGGUUGCUUUAACUCUUUAAGGUGUUACUGUACAGUGUUCUUGUCAAGUAUCACAGUUCAUCAUACGUCUUAGCUCAGCAUUUAGACCUGAAGGUAAUAUGUGUGUUUGUAGGGCAGGAAGCAAAAUUUACAUGUGUUUUAGUUUGUAGGUAAGGCAGUUGCAUUUCUGGCGGGGCUAAAACUGGGAAUAAUGUUAACUCGGUGAGAAAGCCUGGUCUCAUGAAAUGCCCAGUGGGAGUCCCAAACGAGGAAGAACCCUGAGCCAGAACUCCAGCAUGGCAAGGAUGCAGGCCACUGCUAGCAGCAAGGGAGCCCUGAAAUGUUAUGAACAACCAACUUUAUUGCAGUAAAUUACAGAGGUUGAUAGUGCUCCUUCUGGGGGAAAGUGUUACCGAAUUCUUCAGGAUAUUUCCCCACCUGGCCAUCUUGCAUACCAUUCUGUUCCUCAUUUUCUUCUUCUGUACAUCUUUCUGUUCUCCUGGCUCUUGUAUUCUUUCUGUCUUUGGCAGAAGUCUCCUUGCCUAAUAGGCUUUUCUGGCUAAAUAAAAUUCUUCAAAGGAGUGCUUUACUUGUUAGUUUCCUUGAGUUGCUUUUAAUGCUGUUUCCUCCUGGUAUCGAUUAUCACUCGACUCAUUGAAAUAGAAAAACCUGAAGUAAAUAGUGUACAAAACACUUCAAUUCUCAAAAAAAAUGCAUUCAGCGGUCUGUUUUUAGCUAAGAGCAGGUCCCUUCUCUUCUCCCUACUUUUAAUUUCACUUCCAUUAUCCAGGGGCAACAAGCCAAGCUGCAGUCUCAUUCUGAUUUCAUUAAUGUUUUGCAAACUCUGUCUCAAGGACUAACGCUGCUUGCUGGGCUUGAUGUCAAAAUCCAAGGUUUUGCUGCGGCACGGGGGAAGGGAAAAUGAAGGAUCUCUGACAAAUAGAAGUGAUGGCUUUGUUAGCAGACAAGUAGAACUGCGCAGUCUUUACAGUGUCACUGCAUAAUGAAUCAAAAUUGUUGGCAAUGAGAUCGUCUUGUUUGAAUGGUUUUCGUUUCCUAUGGAAAUGCUUCUUAUCUUCUGUGCACAGUAUCUUAUCAGAUCUCUGCGGUCUCCUGAAAACAAAGAAAGGGUGUCAGCUAUAUGUUUAUAAAGCAAGGUUGGUGCAGGGAUUUUUCUCUGUUUUUUGUACAAGCAAUACAUAGAUGCUUCUUACACCUCUGGUUUUUCAGUCAUUUUAACUUCCUCCCUUGAUCUGAGCUUUUGAGAUGCACGUUACCAAUUAAUCCCACUGGCUGCAAAGAGGAAAAAGAUGCUAUGCUGCCAAAAAAAAAAAAUAGAAAUAAUUUCAAACAACACAGUUUUCUUGAAGUAGAGGUAAGAGGAACUCAUUUUGUUAAGAAAAUGUGGAUUAACAAAUUUAACAAUUCUAUGGCCACAGGUGCAGAAUAAGAUGGCUUGGAAUAUCAAAAGAAAAACAUGUUAGCUGAUACAGAAAGGCAACAGAAGCCAGAGCUUGCAGUGGCACUGAGGGGUGUUAGAUCAGUUUGUGGGCUUUGGGGCACGUGCCCAGAAUGACGUGAUGUAUGGCACUCUCCUUUAUGUGACACGGUGACCAAAUGCGCCAAAGGCAUUCAGAAGCAGCGCAUGUCAUUAGCUCGUCCCCAGGGCUUCUUGCGGGGAGUGGCAUCCAGAGCCAGCUUGGCCCUGCAGUCUGCUCACAUCCCAAGGCUGUCGUCUGGCUUUUAACCGCGCUUGGUACAUGGCUCUUUGCUCAGCACAUGCAAUGGAGGUAAGGAGGAGUUUUACUUUAUGGCUGUUUUAGGCAGGGUCUUAACAUCCUCACUUCUCUCACCAGGGCUGGGUUUAGACCACUAAUACUGAUGUUGUGUUUUUUUUCCUACGGUUACUUGGAACUAGCAUUAUUUUUUUAUUUGAGCAAUGGGAUUAGUGACGCUGACGUUCCUGUUAAUUUAUGUCUUGUACUUGAUGAUAAAUUCUCAGUGGAGGUUAAACUGAUUAGAAAGUCUGUCUCCCAGGCAGAGGUUUCAGUGACAAACAAGGGUCAGGGCUUUCCUUUGAGUUAGGAGUUGCUUGCAGGGUCUGCCUCAGCUACUUGGACAUCUAUUUUCCUGCGACUUGUAGGAACUCUGCUAUCUCUGCUUCUGUACCAAAACAGGCUGAAGUUGUCCCAUUGACUCAACAAUUAUUAGUGAGGGAGAAUGUAAUCCACAUAAAACUUGUUUAUAUGGGUUAGAGUUGAGCUAAUGGAUUGUGAUCCUGAUGAGGAAAGUCGGUUUCGUAUGAGUUUACAUCUUUUUCUCUUCUCCGCUCCUGCCACAUCUUCCAUUAGCUUUGCACCAGAGCAUCCCAGUUUCUCUGUGGCCCUUUGCUGUCCUCUGGACGAUACACAGUGAGUGCUGGAGUAGCUUUGGGUGCUGGCUGGCCAGCACUGUAUGUGCUGCCUGCUUUGGAAGGUCAGAGUCAGCAGUGCGUGGUGAACUUUUGUGCCAGUGCUUUCACCGUUUGAGGGGAAGGGAUGACUCACCUCAGUUUGUUCUCCAUUUCUAGGAGGAAAAUGCACUCUUGCUCUCAGGCUAUGUUUAAAUAUUAAGAGUUAGGAUAGCAGAUUACAACAGCAGAAGUUUGGUUUAGUAACUUCAGGAAGGAUACCCUGUAUAACCUGUCAGGAAAACAACCAUCAAAGCACAGAAAUCAGUGGGGGAAGAAGCUCAUCAUGAGCUCCUCUCAACUCGUGUGGCCUCCGUUGGAGGAAGAAGUGAUUAGGUGCAGGCUUCCAUUUGGUGUGAAGGGCUGGCGGCUGCUGGACUCAUUUUGGAAGCUUAUGUCAUCAUCUUGCUUAUUUUCGUGGUCUGUGUGAAGUCAGAUUCCAAUAUACUCUUCAGGAGGGUUAUAUUCACCAACUUCAUGGGGCUUAAAACAGUGUUUUUUGUCUUGGCUGUGAUAAGUAUGGUAGCUUGGGCAUUAGCAUAGUAGCAGGAACAACAAAAAGACUGGAAUACAUUUAGUAAAAUACUAAUUUCCCUUUCCUUCACUUAUCAACUUAACUCUUUCUUCCUGUGAAGCUCUUUGCUGUAUAAAAUUAUGUCAUGAUUAUACAGGUCUGCAAUGGCUUUUAACGUGAUGAAUAAAAGGCAAUCAAUUCACCUGCCCCAUUGAUUCAGAAGGUGCUAUUCCCUGAUGGAAACCUGAGCCUGGCAUGACAGAGCUGGGAAAGCCAGGAGAGUCUGCGGUGCUGGUAGUGUGGUAGGAAAAAGCCGAUGGAGCAGCAAUGCUGCUGACUCAUGCUUUGCAAACCUGGAACAUUCCCCGAAAGGCUGGAGAUGCAGAUUAACUUCCUUUCCCUGGUGUGGUCAGAGGACAAUUCAUUACAUUAUCUGCCACUGACUGAAGCCUCUAGAUAGUUAUGCACUGCUGCUUUUGCACUGAUAUUUGAUGGGCAGUGCAUUAGCAUGGAGCUUGCGAGAAAUCACGGGCAAUUUAUUUUAAUACAUUGAGUGUCGGUCAGUGCUAAAUCACAGAAGCUAUUCAGAUUUGUUUUCUGAGUCAUCCUGGCUCUUGUGAUAAGGUGAUUUGUCAGUGUGUGUGGUUAGUAAAUUGGUUUCACUUUUUCCUUUCCUUACUUUUAAUAUUUGCUCUUAGAAUUGCAAAUAUAUUCCUUAAUUGGCCAAAAGAAAAUGAGUCACAUUUAGGAAAGUGCCUUUCUUUAGCCUCUUCAUCACCAAAGGGAAGAGGUUUAUGAGUGCUAGAGACAGGAAUAGAGAGCAGUGGGGGGAAAGACCACAGAGCUGUGUGUGUAUACGUCAGUACAAAGCUCCUGCUGUUGUCUGGUUGCCUCAGUAGCCUGUGUCUGCUGGUCCUGAGCCAUUUCUGUCCACGUGCCUGGAGGGACCCGAGUGCUGCGCUGCUCAACAGUGUAGUAUUUAGUACUGACAAACGGCAUCGUGUGCUGGAAGCCAUAGACCUGACUUUGGCUGGGGAGAGAAGGGGCUGUGUGGCAGCUUGGGGGACCUGUGUGUGACAUGUCCACCCUUCUCCAUUUAGGUGUUUGAGUUAUGGCCGUGGCCUGUAGGCAGUUAUGAAACAAACCCACAGCACAUUGCUGUGGCGUGUUCCUUGAGAAAUCACUGACACCUUUGUGUACGAGACAGCGUGGUCCCCUGCAUAUAAAGCACAGCAGAAGGAAAAUGGUGCUAAAGCAGCAUCUGAUUUUUUAUAGGAGGGAGAGAGCCAGGCUGUGUCCUGCAGCUAUGAGCUCUGUCACCUCAGUGCUGCUGAGCAGUACUGUUGGUUGCUGGCCUUAGGCCUCAGCGUGCUGCUGGCAGCAGUGCACAGGCUGGUGCCUGCUGCUCUCCUGCAACUAUGUCUUACAUCUCCUGUGAGCGUCAGGUAGGAUGCUGGUGUCUUAUCAGUUCUGUACUGACAUUUCCAAAAGAUGUCACUGGAGUUGAUGUGGAGUUUCAUGUGGCAAGAAGCCUCACUGGCCAGUGUGAUUUCACCCCUGCUAUAUAUAUAAAAUGAUUUUUUUUUUUGUACAGGGUUGCAAGGAUUGGAGGUAGAUUGGGUUCUGCCUUCAUACGCUGUAGGCCUGGGGACCAGGCUGUUGUGUCCAUGAACCAGCACAAUAAUGCCUUUCUGCCCUCCUGGUCACCCUAAGCAACAGGGAGCAGUCUCACUGCAAAGCUGGCUUGCUUUCUUUGCUUUCUGUUCAUGUGAAAGCAAAAGGCUUAAGAUCCCACUGCGCUGUCACAGGCCAUCUGAGAGAUCUCUGACUGGGGUCAGGGCAGGGCCAAGGCCAGUAAUGUUUAAUAAUUCAGCACAGAACUACCUGCUUCAGGAUUUCCAGAGUUGCAGCAGUUUAACUGAAAUCUGUCUAAGGGGAUGUUUAUGUGCAUCAAUCCCAGACCUUUCUCAGCACUUCCUAAUGUGGUGGUGGUGGCUCAGCUAUUUGAUUGCCUUUAGGAUCCUCCAUGUUGUGUUAAUGCAGUACCAGUUGAGUUUACACUGACCCAAGAUGGCUGAGAGCUGUACUGAUAGUGUGAUGUUAAAGCAUGGCAUCACUGCAGCUGGAAUGUGUGCCUGGCUUCACCCUGCUGCUGCUAUGGGGUGCAGCACAGCUGCCAUGGUGCUUGCCCGUGGGCAGCUGCCAGGGAGAAGAAAUCCCUGCCACAAGGUAGGGUAUUUAUUAGGUCUGUGGGAAACUAGAAGCACACAAGCUUUACUUCUAAGUGAAGCACAGUGUGGCUGUUGGUGCUGUGCGGUUAGCUUGUCGCUCAGAACGCAUGCACUGAGGCUGGUGGGCUGCUUCUGUGCUGUGUGCUCGGCAUCUCUGCAAGGACAAGGCUGAGGAAUCUUGGGUUUAGCAACGUGAUGGUAAAACUAAAGGUACAUCAGCAGCAACUUCAUUUCUCCUUGGACGGAUGCGCAGUGCCUAGGAGAACUGAAUCCUCUUCCUUGGAAAGUUGCCACGUAGCCCUGCAGUACAAGCAGGCACAUUCAUAAUCAUUAAAAGGAGAACCGAAGCUAUUCUUUUCAGUGGUGGUAUUAUGUAAUUAAUAAAGAGAACAGCCGUAUUUGUAGCAGCAACUGUGAGAAAUGAACAGAUUUGCUGACUUCAGCGACAUUUGCUACAAAAUACUGAGAAUGCCCUUGAGUAUGUAAAUGAAUGUGCUUAUCCUUAGGGUCAUUGUAUUUCGUGUCUGUUGGUAGGGAUGUCUUUCCUUGCACCCAAUUCUUGUGGGAGUCAUUAUGGGCAGGUAAACUCAUAGAAUCAUAUGGACAACCUCUAAAUGUAGUUUUGCAAUUGAGUCACAGCUGGCAUUUGUACAAACCUGCAAUACUUUUCUGAGCCUUCCCCAGAACAGGAAACUUGAGCACUUCAGUGAUAAAUUAUAGAACAGGAGGGGUGGAGACCUGUUCUGUGAUACAAGUAAUGCAUCCGUACAUCUUGCAAACAGUUUGCAAACUGAGAAUAAUUCGUUGAAAGAGAGUAUCUUCAAACAAAAAAGCAAACAAAGAGGUUACUGGUCUGGAUGGUGGCACUUCCCCCGGUCCCCACACAGUCUGCUGUUUGCUGUAUUGUUGUGCUUUCCAAGGAGGGCUCUGAGAGUCCAUGAGUCAGAGGCCUUGAGCUUCCGAGAGGAUUUGUGUGACCCUGAGUAUGGUUGGGAAGGGUUCUCGGGAGUCUUUGAGUGAGUCUAGUAUUAUCAUGUUGGAAUUCAGCUAUUUCCUGUGUUCUUGUCCUGUAACUCGCUUUUGCCUUGCCAGUAUUUGACAGAUCCACCUCUUCUUAAACCCGGUUUGUGAUGGUGGUUGUUUUACUGUAUUCCUCAUACACCAGAGCCUCUCUCUCCCCGGACAGGUCAGGAGCCAAGGUGCCUGCAGCAGCCUGGCCGGAUAGCAGGGCUCACGUUUACCUAAAAGCUGCUGUUUCUGGGCUUUGGAGGAGCCAGCGGCAUCGCCACAAACCAGCUGUUGUGCUGUGCCCUGGCUGGCAGUGAUGAAAUGCACCGGUAGAGAAAUGGGGCCAUGCCAGAAAGGUGCAUUCUGAGACCUUUGGCACGUAGUAGGGACAACCCAGAUCUGAUGUGGAUGUGACUGUUCACUGCAGCUUGGCACGACUGCCAGUGCCAGCCCACAGCGAUCUGCUGCGCGGUGCUGCUACAGCUAUUUCUGGUAAGGAAGUCGGUGGGAGGUGUCUGGAGCCCUCCAGUGAAGCACCAGCUGGGAUGCGGCAGGGAUACGUGGGGCAGGGUCUGGCCCAAGCACAGGUCAGACGCUCCGUCCACACUCCUGAAGAGCAGGGAAGCUUUCUGCUCACAGCCGUGCAGCGCUGCCGAGGACAGUUUGUGCCUUUACAAAUUGGAGAGCUUGAAGCAUCAUAUUCUUCUAUUUUUCUUUUUUUUUUUUUCCCCCUCAGUUAUAAGGUGAUUCGUGUGGAAAAUGUUACUGCCUUCUGCAAAUUAUAUUUAACACAGGGCUCACGGAGACAUCGCCCAAUUGCUGUGUAUCCUCUAUAGGUGUCUUGUCAGGUGACCGUGGUUCUGUUUCAGGUGCUUGUCAGGCACUAGGACUAUCACUGCUCCAUGUGGAUGGACGCUGGAUAACAUCGUGACUGUUCCACAAAGUGCUUCUUGGCUGUGGAACUCAAAACUUGACUUUUAUUUUCAUCUGUUAAGCAGAGUUUAUUCUGUGUGAACAUCAGUAUUUGACGAUGGAUGGCCUUUGCAGAAUAUUUGUCAUUUUUCCCCCCAACAUAUCAACCUCUGAACAUGGAGAACAGCAGUGAAACCUACGGAAAGGGACUUCAGUCAACUCCUUACAUUUUUAUCCACGUGUUCACUUCCGUUUUGCUAAUGUUUGCAUUGAUGUUUUCUGUAGCUUUCUGUGUUACAAGGAUGUGAGCAUCUCCCUUCCACCAGCACCGUUCCCUGUAGAGUUCACUAAAGGCAGCAAGAUGCCCAAACUGUGUGUUCUGUCAGAACAAAGGUUUUUGAAUCCAAACAUUUGGAUUCAAUUCAAGUUAUGGUGCUAAUAGGCUUGCUUGCAGGGGUGCCCUCUUUCCCCUUAAAACAAGGGGAAGAACUAGUUUGUCUGGGGAAGGGAAGUCAUAUGUUGUAACAGAGGCUUAAAAGGGCUUGUGAGGAUUUACAGCUGGGAGUGUUUAUGAGAGCUGAACCCGGAAUGCUUCCGUUUCCCAGCGGUACAGAUAGCAGAGACAAUUACGCUGCACAGUCCUGUGUCUGAGCUGGAGCAAUCUGCGUGGUGUUACAGCCCUCAUCUUGUGGUGUACGUGAGAGGGGGGCCUGUCGGACUGCACAGAGGCUGGCUGAGAUGCUCUGUCCAACGCAGCGCUCCCCUGCCUUCCCCAAGCUGCUGCUUUGUCCCAGGCUUCAGCCCACAUGUACCCAAGUCACAGAGGCACAGCUUAUCGCUGCUGGGCAGGAGCAUCUGUCCCAGCUUUGCUUAUUUUGCACUUGUCGGGGAGGAUGGGUGAAUUGGUAAACGAUGGUGUGAAAGGGAAACCCAUGACCUCUGCACCUGCUGCAGGUUAUAGGGCUCCAUGUGAUGCGAGUCGGGCAUUGAAUCCACACGUCUGGCGCUGUGAUGGGUGUAGGAAGACCACUUAGCUGUUUAAAUAGACUCGAUGGCUAUUGUGUGGCUGCCAUCUGUCCUCUUUCUCACAGCUUUGUUAUCAUUUUUAACCCCAUCUUACUACGUCUCCAAAGCCCUGGUCAGUCUGCAUUCAUUGUUGGAUAAAGGAACGGCUGCUUUUCUUAACAGAAAAUAACCUCUCUGUAAUGGUACUAAAUCAUUCUUUCCCCCCCCCACCCCACUCCCCUUUUGGCACGCGUGGCUUUCUGUGCCAUGACUGAUAGCAGGGACCUUACUGCAACAUUUCCCAUCCUGAUAAAUCAGCGUGCUUUAAUGGGGUGCUCUGCUCUAAACAGAAACCAGUAGCUGUAUACACAAUAGCUGUAGCAUUAGGUGUUAAAAGCCAAAAUGCAAUUUGCAAUUUAAUGUAUUAGCAGGGAAAUAAAUGCAAGGUUGGAGCGAGACAAGGGCUGGACAUGGAAGGUGCUUCAGGGAACACUUGAAAAAUUUUGCUUACAAGAGCUGAGUGGAUUGAAGGAGCUUGAAGGGACUGCUGGUAAGAAAAAUGCAGAAGCAAACGUGCAGAGUAUUGCAGAGCCUGUUCUUUGUGCCUGCUGUAUCUGUAUCAGCCUUCUCACCUGCUGUCGAGAAAUGGUACUGAUGCAGAAGCUGGUUUUGCUGUCUGCCUGGCAGGGCGGAGCAGGCUGAAGUUCUUUGCAGCUCUGGCUCAGGUCCAGUGCUGGCUGUGUGCAGCAGCUGCAGGAGGGCUGCAGCAGUGCAUGCAUGUGAGUGCUGUGAGCACUUGGUCUGCAGUUCAUGUUCUGUUGAUGUGUUUUAGCCCAACGUUCUCAACAUCAGUAAUAAAGACUCUUUAGAGGGCUGCAAACACUGAAGAGCCCAAGUGAAAUUCUUCUGUACUGUGCAUUGCUCAUGUUCAGAAUGUGAAGUGGAAGGGCCAUGUGACUGCUGCAGGCUCACUUAAGUAAAAGUAAGAAGCAAUUGGGAAGCAGAAAGGCCAUUGUAAAGAAAAUAUUAUACUGAAUACAACAAUUUGAAGGAUGUGAAGCUGGUGUGAGGACACUCAGACACAACAUGUUUGCACAUAAGAAAAUCUGUUCUUAGGUACAAAGUGCGCUUCCCUGAUUGUGACUUUAGAUUCAAAGCAGUGGAACAUUGAUGCUUUGUUUCUGGAGCAAGCAAAGCACUUUGCUGCAUGGCACCUGCCGUUUGCUUCUGUGGCAGUGGAAAAGCAAAGUUAGAGCCUACUGAAACAAAAAUAGACUUUUUUUUUUUUUUGCAUUAGUGAGCUAUAGAUUGGGCCGAUUGAACCCUUAAAGAAUGGCUUUAAUGAGAAAAGAGAAUGCAUUGGGGUGACCUCAGUAGCUGUGUGAGAAGGUGUGAAGGGUGCUGUUGCCAAUGGGAGCUUGUGUUGCUGAGGCUGGUGCAGGAGAGCAGUGGUUCCUGGAGUCCCUUCCCAGCUAAGGAAUGUAGAGGCAACCUACCUGCAGGGGUCAGAGCAGCUCAGCCCCACUGCUGCAGAGGAAAGUCCAGGCAAUGAUAGCUAACACCACGUGGUGCCUUGUAUGGCAUGGAGCUGUGACUGCGACGCCUGCCUGGCUCAGAAGAGAACUUGGCCUUGCUGCAGUCAGCCUUGUUCCGAGGGAAGUGGUAGUGAACAUGCGUUUCUAGCAGGUGACCUGUGGGAUAAAGAUGAGGGAAGCUAAUUGGAAUUGUCACCAUGCAGUCUCUCGCUGGAGGCUAUCAUUAUGCUGAAGAGCACCAUUAACAAAGUUGGCAGAAAGGGAUAAUUUAUUGUUAAAUAUUAACUACUAAAAUUCAACUUCUAGUUAUUCACUCGUGUUGUGCUGUUAGAGCUUUGGCUUGCUUUGGUUUCCAAUUUUCCAUUUCCUCUAAAAUGCUGCUGGCUGCUAGAGACACACCAGUAAUCCAAACCUUGCAUCUGAAAAGCUCUACAACACAUCCCAGUUUGGCUGGUGGGGUCUGUUUCUUGGUUUAUCUUUAGUAGAGGAAAUCGAUACGAUGACAUGUCGUACGUUGCAGGUUAAGAUGUAGCUGCAGUAUGAACGCGGAGGUGUUUAGGUGCAUGCUAUGAUUAUACAAAUGAACGUGUUUUAUUUCACAUCUGCAUAGAUUUAAUGAAUAUGUAGGCUGAAAUUGCGAUGGACUUAGCUGGAUGUUUAAGGGUAAGGACGGUGGGGAGAAAAUACUGAAAAGGCUGUUUAAAAUGAAUAAUAUUUCUUCUGGAUGGUUUAAUAACAGCACACGCGGCUGUGUGGGCACAACCUUAAAAAUUAAAGUCACGUUGAAAUGCUUUCAUUUCCAUAUUCAAACAGAUUUGUGUGGUUUUAUUGACUGGUUGCAAACAGUACAUUAAAACAUAUGCCAUCAAAAUUAGGGCAGUGUUUCCUACAGUGUAGAUCUGUACUGCGUGUUAUUUACUUUAUCUGUCUAUGGAAGUCCCAGUGGCAGAAGUCCCUGCAUAUGUUCUCCAUAAACCCACUGAGGAUGUGUGUUUCAUACAGAACAGGCUCAUUAACAAUGUGAGCAUGGUGCAUGCUUUUGAGCGGCUUUGAGCUUUCUUGCAUACAUUGCCAAUUUCAGACCACGUAAGAAAUGGUUGGUUCCCAUCUGGGCACCUUCUCAGCUGCUGGAGCCUGAUGGAAGCUGGAAGCAAGCUUUGAACUUAUGAUAUUCUUGGGAUGGAGAAAGUAUUUUCUGUCAGUGGGUUUUAUUAAUAAUUAGUAGUAGCUUGUAGCAGGUGAGUUGUUUGGUGGGGUUGUUUUUGGCUCAGUUGCAGUCAGUGAGCUCUUUCCUUUGUGACUGAUGUGAUGGUGUUGGGUGGGUAACAAGGUAAUUAAUACACUGUGCUCAUCAGGGUUGUCCUGUGGCUGCUACCAGGUGGGAUGGCUGCAAGCAGCUUGGGAGGUUGGCAGAGAGAUGCACCUUCCUGCUGCUGUGUUUCUGCCUGUGGAUAGCAGCUGUGUUCCUGGAGCUGGGCACGGCUGUCCUGUGACACUCAGGUACGUGAGGGCAGAAAGACUUCGUGUAGCCCCAUGCUCUCAUUGCUACACAUAGAACAUAGCUUCAGUCUUAGUUCAAGUGAUAAAAGAGCUUUUUCAAGACCUUUUCUGUCUUCUGCUUCAAGAUGAGGGUGGAUUGGUUUUUUUUUUUUACUAGUUACCUGGUUUCUCUCUUCUUGUUUUGCUUUCCUAAGCAAAAUAAGUAAUUCACAAUGUCCACUUCAUCCAAAGGAGUAAAUCCCCUCUUCCAACUGCCUGAGCCAUGUGAGCAGCCAUUAGGCAGGCCCCUGGAAUUAAAAGAGCUGCAUUGAAUAGUGUCAUGGAGCCUGUUCCUUCAUUAUUAAUGGACACCUGAAGAUGUCCAAAGCAAAUUUAUUGUGAGUGCAUGCAUAAAUAUGGAAGGUCAUUUUGUAUUUAGUAGUAGCAGUAUUUUCUGGCUUUAAAUGGUUACUUUGGUACCCAGUGUGUGCUCUGCCUUCAUCUCAGCAUUUCUUUGUCUCAGUUUCCUUGGAGUGCCAUUUGUGCCAAUGGAUUAGAUCCUAUUCCAGUUGUUACUUGUAAAGCUAUGAAUAUAAUGCACACCAUCACUUAUCUACAUCUAAAUUAAAAAUACCAUGGCUGACUUUGUAGAGUGAUCCCCUGUGAUGCAGGAAUACAGCAAAAUUAAGGUUGCACCCUGUAAUUCCUGGUGCAUAAGAGGCUGGUUGUCAGGUAGGGCUGCAUGACAGUAGGGAGAUGCAGCCUCAUUAAGGCAGAUUGAUUACUUAUCUCCAGCCUUGUGGCACUGAGCAUGUGUACUGGGUUACAGGACGUGUGCUCUGUCUUCUGUUGCUCAGAUGUUACGGCCCCACUGUCAGUCACAUUCAGGAUGAGUUGUGUGGCCAUAUUUGCUGCUGGGUGGAGCCUGUUACUGGAACACCACUUGUCUGCAGAAUUCAGACCCAAACUUCCAGAGGUGGUGUUGUGGUGGUAGGUAAGGCUGUAGCUUCCCUCAAGUAAUUGUGGGCUGAUGCCUUUGCUGUUAGGCCCUCACUGUGGUGUAGCGGGGGCAUAGAAGACCAUGGCCAGUCAAUAAGGAGAGCAAAAUACAACUACAGGAAAGCACGCUCAGCCAAGAGGCAAUUCAUUUUGAAAAAUGUUUUAACUGGUUUAUAGUCAUUUGGGCUGAGCUACUUCCCAUGGCAUAUGUUUUCUGGGAAAUGGGCCAGCCCAGUAAUAAGAGGCCACAAGAAAAUUGGCACUAAACAUGUGGAUGCAAGGGGCUUGAGGAAAUGAAAGCUUAAUAAAGGCUGAUACCAUCUGAAUAACCUUGCAGGGGCUCAGUUUGGAUGCCACAUGGUCUCCAGGAGCACGGAUAGUUCUGCUGCUGUGACCAGCUAUUGGACUGGUAUCAGACCCUGAGGUCCGCUUGAGCUAACUCAAUGAUGGAGCUGUUCCAUUCUGAGUCAGGCAGAUGGGAGUAUGCAGUAUGCACCUGGACGGUGCCCUUCUGCACCUGAGAGAAGAGACUUGCACCUGCAAGAGGAAGGAGAGGCCAGACAAAGCUCCCUGCUGCUCCAUUGCUCAGUCCCUGUUUUGAUGCAUUUCCCCAAUUCAUGCAAAUCCCGGAGAAAUCUGUUCUUAAUGCCUGAGAAUAAGAAGCCAUUGGAUUUCUUCGUUUGCAUUCAAAAUACCGUGUCUCCUAAUCAUCUCAAAGCAGCAGACAUGAAAGCUCCUUCAAGAGAGAUGUCACGAAAGGUCACACGUUUUCCUUUGAGUGAUGAGCAGUACUUUUAAAGGAGAUUAAGUUAAACUUCAGACCUAUGGCCUAUAUGUUCUGUUUACUGCUUGCAGAAGCUGCAGCCCUUUGCUAAGAGGAGUGGAGAUGCUGUCAUCACAGCUUGGGUUGAAAGUCAGAAAAUCUGUGUGCACUUCCCUGCUGCGCUGCAGAGCCUGGCUGUGGUUUCAGCAAAGGCAUUUUAUCUUCCUUGGCCUCAAUUCACAGUCUUUUAAGAACAAAAAAAGGGCACAAUGCAGCACAUUUUUUAGAAAUAUUUUCCUUGAAAAUGAAUCCGCAGGUAACCCUCAACAAUCUGAGGCAGGGAACGGGAGAUAGCUCAACAGCUGGAGAACAGGAGGCAGGUUGUGGACUACUGAAGGCAGGUAGCUUUGCUGUCAUGCUGCUUUGUAGGAUCGUUGCCUGACCUGAUGCUAAAUUACUUCUUUAUGUAUUUUAUUUUAUUAGAGAGCCUCUGUGUCAUAAAUAGAAGUACCUGACAGUAACUGGGUUUUCCUUUUGUUUUCUGUUUGUGUGUAUUGGGCUGUUAACUCUUCAAGGACCAACAUCUCAGUGCCUGUGGUGACAGUUCUUAGGCAAAGUCUGCACAUGUUGCAGGUACGCUCAGCCCCUCCAUGUAUUGCACUACAGCCAUGCACGUUGGCUGUUGCCUCAGCUGAGCAGGUGUUUGAUGCACCCCUCCCCUUGCUUGUGCUUUGCUAGCACAGAUGUUUGCUCCCAGCAGAGCAUGUGGCCUGAUGGAUGCUUCAGCAGGAAUAAGCCCUGAACUAUGAUCCACUGCCUGCAAGUGUUGCCACAUCCUCUGUGAAUCUAUUUUCAAAUGUGUGAAUUGAAAGUGGAUCAGGAAUUUAACAAGAAGUAUCUGUCAAGUGGGCAGAAGUGCUGGUCUCUGUGUAACCGAGUUCUCUUUAGGACUUUGCCUACAAUGAGCCACUCUCUUGGUCUGAGGUUUAAAUUGUGCUAAGUACCUGAAAUAGGCUGCUACAGAGCGCUGCAGCCUUUGUGCUCAAAUGGAUCGGUCUAUUUGGCUUUCAGUUACUUUCUUUAAUCUCCUUUAAGGUGUUUAUGUAACAAAAUGGUGUUUCAGGAUAGCUAUUAUGUACUUCUGAGUAAUGAGUUUCUGUUUUGGAAGUUCUGCAAGAUUUACGUGGUAGCUCAAAAAAAGAGGCAUGUUUGUUGGGUAAGGUACAAAAAUACUUCAAGUUGUUCAAAGAGGGAUUUGGUCUUAAUGGCUUUGCUGUAACCCAUAAAAACCAUAAUCUGAAGGUCGAAGCACUAUUUUUGUCUCGUUCCCUCUUCAUAGAAGUAUUACAAUCAGUGUCGUCUAUUGUUGGAAGAAGCGUGGCACUGUGAGCGAGCAGUGCAGCCUGGCACUUAUGCAGUCUCAGGCCAGUGAAGUGCGGCUUUCAGCCUGCAAAUCAUUUCCUGAGGUUUGGUCAGCUUAGGAGAAAACAUUGUUAUUUUAAUGCAUUUUGAUGCAAUCAGAAGCAUGUGGCACUGAAGGAGAAGAAUCAUUUUCUUUACAGGGAUUUAGUUUCAAGGGGUUAGAAAUCUGUAUUUACCCUGGUUUUCUCGUUGGCUUGCCCCUUGCUAAGUAUUUUCAGAUGCACCAUGCAGAUCUUUUUACGGGAGGAAAUGGGACAGCUAAUGCUUUCUGCUGUGGUAUACUGUGCUUUUUUGUCGUCUUAGGGCUGCUUGCUUGCUUAAUCAUAAGCCAAUUUAAGUAUACUAAUGGAACACGCUUUUGAACCGCUUAUAAAUAAAGGGUAAAUAAUUAUAUAUAUGAUCAAUAAUUAUCAGAGAAAGAGGUUAGAAAAUGGAGAGGAGGAGCUUUGAGUGUUGUGGCUCCCGGCAGAGCCCGUGCCUCCUGCUGCUGGCUGUCGCUGCUCCUGGGGAGCUCAUCUCAACUUGUCUUGGCUGUGGGUUUCUGGAGAGAAGAGGGUACACAGGGGGACUGGAGAGCCCAGAGCCCUUUGAGCUUCCUCCUGUUUGUUUCACUGCUUUGUCUUGUACUGGUCUCGUGUCACUGUGUUAGCAGCUCUUACUUCUCUGUUACCCAACGUUGACACAAGGGGUAUGAGAUGAAUCCUCCUGAAUUCACGUGGCAGCAUCUUCCUGGCUGCCCUGGCGCAGCUUUCCACAUUAACCCAGUCUCAACUGGUGCUCCAAACCUUCGUCAUUCACAGCAAGGUGCCUUUGGGUUUACAUGUUCCUGGUCUCAGUAGCAGAGUCCUGUAUCAAGUCACUGGGCAGCAACAGCGGGUGGCUACUUCAGCUGCUGGUCUCUGCCCAAUGCGACUAAGGAGCAUCAGCCCCACUAUCCCCCACCAGUGCUUUGUGCAGCACUGACCGAUGCCAAACCUCCCGCAGCGAGAGGCAGUCUGUGACAUGGGCUCAUCCUGCCCGAGCAGAUGGCUGCCAAAGAGAGGAGGUGUCGCAGCUUUCUAUAGGAUUUCCAGACCCUAAGCCAUCACAGGAAGCUUGCCCAAAACUUCAGAACCUCGACUCAGCUUUGGCUUCUAACAAAGGUACUUACUCGUUAGCCUUGUUUUUUAAUUAAGUGAGACUGUGGUGCUACGGUUCCUUGUGAAACCACAGGAUAGGGGUCUCCUAUUCCUGGCAGCUUCUAGUUGUUUUAAACUUUGUGAAAGAUGUCCGUUUUUUAUUAAAGUAAACAAAAUUAUCUGCAAUAAGUGCUCGAAAGAAAAACAUUCUUGUUUCUAUUAAAUCCCUAAACUUUAAUAAGGACACACAAGUGUGCGUUCUUUAUGGGCAGCCUGGCCUCAGCCUGACCUCAGCUAGCCAUCUGGAUCCCUAUUUCUUAAUAAUAAUGUAUAGUCUGAAUUUGGCUUUUAUGACUUAUAGCUUAAGCUAUUAAAUACAGAACAUUUGGUUUCACAGGAACUACAGAAUUUUCAAAUAAACAACAGGUUGGAAUAUAUAUACAUUACAUGAGAGAGCCCUCACAGCAAACUCCUCAGCUGAAAAGCUUUGUGUCAGUUAGGCCCAUGGGCUGAGGCUAUAGGGUAUGGGCUGAGGCUAUAGGGUAUGCUGCUGCUGGCACUGAGAGGUGUGCAUGGCAUGCCCUGGGGACACUGUGCUGCCUGCCCAUUUACUGGCAUUUUGGCAAAGCCAGUGUUGCUUUAUAAAAGCAAAAUGCAAACAAAAGGAAUCAACAAAUUUAAAUGAACAGAAAAGAGAGAGAUGGGAAAAGAUGUCACUGAUCAAGUGGGCAGCAGCAGGACUUGUCUUGAGCUUUAUUUAUGGGCACAUUGCUUGCUUCCACCCCUGCUGCCCGCUUCUUAAGCAGAAAGCCUUGUGGAAGCAGAGGAGGAGUUCUCUCCCAAGAGCCCAGCAGACAGGCAGAGUAGAUUAAUGAUGGGAUGCACUUCUGAGUGCCCGUGGAACCUAAACACAGCUGGUGGGAAGCAUGAUUGCUGCUCCCAGCUGCGAGGCUGGCCCUCUCUGCUGCUUGUGAUGGAGAUGGCACUGCUGCUGCUGGUUGGUGCUGAGCCUGGCUGGGGGUGUGGGGACUUGGCAGGAAGCUGUGGGGUGCAUCCCCUCAACCCAGCGGGGUAGGAGAGCUGGUGAGUGGAUGCUGUGGGCCCCAAGGGAACGGAGGAGUUGCAGCUGUCUGCUGCCAGUCUGGCUCCAGGCUUGAUUUACCAACUGUGCAAUGGAGGGUGAUUGGCUUCCUGAGCAUGGUAGUGUGGUACUCGGUGACCAGUGAUUGCUUACAUGUCUGUUUUGGAGAGAUAUGAACCCUGCCUCGGAGCCUUGCAGUCUGCUUUGGAACCUUCACCCCAGCUUGAAAUUCUGUUCUGUGGCAGCCCUCUGCCCGGUCCCAACAGCUCUUUCACAAAUCUGUUGCCUGCAUGCACUGAGACCAGACUGUGUCUGAAAUUCCAUCAGCCAAACCCUCCUGCACCCUGCUGCUAAUGGACAAGAGCUUUCCUAUAGCAGGCAGUGCAGGUGAAGAGUUUGGGCUAAUGCUUUAUUGAUCGGUUAAAUACAAAAUUAAGAACUACUUGAUUUUAGGGACUGAAGUUCUUCGGUCUCCUCACACAUUUUUCCUACUGUUUCACCUCUGGGGGCCAUACACCUGUGGCACUUGUGGGACCCAUCUCUCCUAAGCAUCACUGAGUCUCCUACCAGUUGGCCUGUUGUAAGGCAAAAAACACUUCUUGCUCCUGUUUCAUGGUUGGAACAUUUCUCCCUAGCUGAUCCUGGUAUCAGUUUCUCUCCGGCAUAAAACAUUACUCAUUUACUUAAGUCACCAGCAGGUCACUAGUUUUGCCACGUGGCAGGAACCAGAUGCACAGGAAGAGGAAUUUCAUUGCAGGUGUGGUUGCUUCGGCAGCACAGAGCCCAGAGCAGUCCCUGGGCUGGGGGAGAUAUUCCUCUUUCAUGAGCAUAGCCUCUGGUCAAGUGAAAAAUGAAGUGAUGAUGCAUUUAUAAUUUGAGGAUAGAUUAUGUCUGAGUGAGAAGGAGACAAGUUCCAUUGAAGAUUGCUACUUCUUAUGUCCUUGCUUCUUACUGCAUUGUAGAAGGGCACGCAUGUAAGCUCAUUUCCUUCUGCUAGGGGUGGCUUUGUGGAGUGUGAAGCUCCUAGUGGCUGUGUCUGGCUGUUUGUGUGUUGGUUCUCCCAUGCACAGCCUCCCAAUGCAAAGUCAAACAGCGACGGCACAUGGAGGGAGAUGUUUCUCAUCGCUCUGGCUGCCAGCAGGGCACUCCUGCAGCAGGGUUAAGCAGAUGGCUUGGGACAACUGUGUCUUCACCAUGACAGCUACCUUACUUAGAUCCUCCACCCAGGGACGUGGAUGUGGUUCUGUCCACAGGGACUGCUGUCCUUCCCUGCCCUUUCCUAAGCUAUCUCUUGUGGCACGUCCCUGCUGCAGGCCAGGUGAGCUCCUGGUCUCUAGUUCCCCUGCCCUGGUAGGAGAGGGAGGCUGGUACUCACCAAGCUUGAAAUCCAGCCCGUUGAUAUCUAGCUGUGAACAUGGGUGGGUACCUCAGAGCUUCCCCAGCGCUGAAACUGAAGGAGGGAGUUGCCUGCAGGACUGUCCUGCUUCCCAUUCCCGAGCUGCUGUGCCAUGGCCCCAUUAGGCUGCUGUCAGCUCGCAGGGGCUGUCCCAGGAUACCUGAGUGUGCUGUGUGUGGAGCUGUUAGGCAUUUCCUUGUAGGCUUGGAGACAGCAAUCGCAGGUGAUGUGCCCUAAACUCUGGCAAAGCAAGCAAAAGGCUCCCAGUACUCAACUGCUGAAUGACUUUGCUUGCCAUAAUUUGCCCUCACCCUGUGACAGGCGACUUGUGCGUUCCAGAUUGCUAACAGAGAUAAGCAGUUUAGGGGUGAUUUAGAGGAUGAAAGGCUUAAAGCCUCUGGGACCUUUAGCUCUGUGGUUGUGGAAGUGUGUGUACUACUGGGAUGCGUGCAAAAGGGACUGGCAGUAUAGUCAUCAGCAAAGCGAUGUGAUUUCUGUCAUGUGUGCCAGGAAAGCUUCCUUAAGGUGUCAGAAUGUGGUCAGUGCUCAGCUAAGGUGCUGUGAAAUGUGGUGAAGGAAGAAGCAGAAAUCCAAGGUGUGGCAGCAAAAUGUCUCCCAAAAAAGGCAGGGAAUGCCUGCUGACCUGUGCUGCUGGGCCUGUCACAUAUGUUCCCAAGCUGUUUACACAGGUACAGGUUUUCUGGCAAUAGCUUUAUGCCAUUCACGUUUACCUUGGGCAUCUCUGGUGGCGUGCAUGUCACAGUUGAUGCAUGCUAUAGAGAAUAUAUUCUAGCCAAUGUCUUCUGUGUCCCUUACCUCACUUGGUGAUUUGAGUUUCUCUCUCUCAAAUGCAUCCAUCUCAGUGCAAAUCCUCAGCUCAAAUGUGGUUUCCAUGGAUACUGCUCAAUUUGCACAGCCCGGUCUCUGCUCCAUAAAGUUAACUUAGGAUGGUUAGAAAUUGGAUAACAUGCAGCCAGCUGAUUGCAGGAACCUGUGGACCAGCUGUAAGUUAAGGUGGCUUCCCCAUGCAGCUCUGGAGAUGCACCAGAAUCAGCGACUCAGCUAUUGCUCGUCUGGCAUAGUGUGCCUCAUGGUAGCUUACACACAGGCAAGAGGCUGUGCUUGGUUAUGCAGGAGAAUGGAAUUACUCACUGCACGGCAUCAAGAUAAUGCUGGGAUGUAGAUUCCCAUGUUCAUUGCAGGGGAGGUAGACUGUCUGACCUUUAAAAGUUCCUUCCAACUCGAAUGAUUCUGAUUCUCUAUGUAGUUGGGCCUCCUUACUGGCGUAGAGCAGCAGGAGCUGAGCAACUGUGGUUUUCCCCUCAGGUAGUAAGUAGCUCACUCAGUGACCCACACGAUAUUCUUGCAGUUUGAAAACCUGUAAAGUGGGAUUUUAUUACUUUUUCAUCAGAGUCAUCUUCUGAAGUUUGAAUUACGCUUUACAUUGUGUAAUAUCACGCUGGCAAGAAAAGUAAACCAAAGCCAAGCCAAAAAAAUGUGACAUAUUUUUAUUGUGUCUGUCUUGACGUUUCCAUCGCACCUCUGAAAUACUGUUGAGUUCUGGGUAUGAGAUGUACUGAGAAAAUGUUCUGCCUGCCGUGUAGAACAUAGGAGAGUCUGCAGGAUGAGUAAAAUUGGUGCUUUUGAAAAGGAGCCUCUGUCAGGAGGAUGGAGCCAAGCCAGUAUAGUACCUCUUGUUUUAGGAAGUACUGGUAGUCCAAAGACAGAUUAAAUGCAGUAUUUAGUAAGGUACAAGUAGUACCAUACGUUAUUUCAAAGUAUGCUGGUUUUUUUCUGCUGUUCCUUUAUGGAAAAAAAAAAAGUCAUGAUUGUGUCUUACAGACUUAGUGAUGUCUGGCAAAGUCUUGGUGAGAAGUCAGUUUAUACUGAAGUAACGUCUGAAAGGGGCAGGUCUGCUGCUUCCACUAUGGGAGGAGUGUGCGUGUGAGAAUGCUAGACCCAAGUGUGGAAGCGUACAUUUUCUGGUGUAUAGUACAGAGGUGGACAGCGUUGCCCCUGUUAGGGGAAAGGCAUCUCAGAUCUUAAUGAAAUACUUAUUCUUGGCUCCCAGCUUGGAGGGUUGCUAGUUCCCAUUUCGCUAAAUGACUGGAGCAAGCAGUUCUUUUCUGACAAGGAAUCCAGGGAGCUUUUCCUCUCAAGCCUGUGAAGAUGCGUCUCGUGUCUACACAGCAGUUUAAUGGGUGUCUGAAAUAGCUGAGGUUUCUUAAAGCAAAUGGCAAAAGAGUUGGGGCAGUGCUAUGGCAGCAUCUCUCAAUUAGCAGGGUCUUGUGCAGCCCUUCUCCUGGCGGCCGCAUCCGUGGCUGGAGGAAGCCUGCUAGGGCUACGGCUCAGGGGGAAUCCGGGACCGAGACAGUGUAGUCUGGGGGAACUUGGUGACCUGAGCUCUUCUUGCUUUGCUGACGAACUGAGAAAAAAUAGGCUAGCAAUUCACUUUACAAGUCUCUUAGGCUAUUGUAAGAGUUUAUGGGAACUCAUUAUGCGAUAAAUUAUAGAUAUAAAAUAGCAGGUGGCACAUCUUUCAAGCAAAGCGCAUGAAAAUUCGUCUCGACAAGAUUAGGAAAACAGCCCCCAGACCUAUCUUCACUGAGCAACUGCAAAGCAAGGAAGCUGUAGUGAGGAGAAAUGCGCUGUUGAUGACGCAUCUAUGCCAGCGAGCAGGGCAACAUCACAGAAUCACGUAAGAUCAGUGGUCAGAAGGGACCUCAAGAUCAUAGAGUCCACCCUCCCCACUAAAGCAGGUGUCCUGCAAUAGGUCGCAAAGGGUCUCGAAUAUCUCCGUAGAAGGAGACUCCACCCUCCCUCUGGGCAGCCUGUUCCAGUGCUCCAUCACCCUUACUGUAAAGAAGUUCUUCUGUAUGUUAGUAUGGAACCUCCUACGUUCAAUUUAUAGGCCAUUGCUCCUCAUCCUAUUGCUGCGCACCACCAAGAGCCUGGCCUCAUCCAUUUGGCUCCCACCUCCCUUUAGAUACUUAUAAACAUUAGUUAGAUCCCCCCUUGGUCUUUUCCCCAGGCUGAACAGACCCAGGUUACUCAGUCUUAUCUCAUACAGGAGGUGCUCCAGGCCCCAGUUUGUCUUUGUGGCCCUUCGCUCAACAGGAAUUGUUAGCAGAAUGAUUUCUUUCCUACUAGUUAGGAAAUCAUAUGCAGUAUUGGAGACACCAUUUGUAAAACCCAGACACCGUAUAUUUUCAUCAAAUGUAGCAAUUGUCUCCAUCUCUGAGGCUCCUGAAACAUAAACCCCCUCAGGGUCCUGGCCGGGCUGCUGUGUGCAAGCUGUGAAAAUAUUGAUGCACUCAUUUUAUCCUUUGCCUUCCUUGUCCUUCUCUUUCCUUUCUUUAUUCCUUACUGGCAGCCACUAGCAUAGCCAAGUUAUUUCUGCGCCAAGAUGAGGAAACUUUCCUCCUCAGCCAACUAUGCUGACACUGCUAACCUUGAUUUCCAUAAAUGAUUGAACAGUGUCUCCUGUCUGCAGCAUAUUUCAGGCUCCACUUACCCAAGAUUCUUGGAUGCUGAGAGAGCUUUUAAUCUUUCCCAUCUCCGCCUCUCCUCCAGCUUUGGUUCUGACUGUCUGCUCCUCCGUGGCCGUGAGCUGCCCCGACCUGCAGCUGCAGCAGUCCUGGGAUGCUUUUCUCUGCACAGUGACUCUGCCCCAGCUGUAGGGUUUUUACAUUUAUUUUAACAGACUGAGAAAUUUGAUGUGGAUUAGUAUAGUGGAAAGGAGAUUUCUGUGGUUGUUGGACAAGCAGUGCUACUUAAACUGUGGGAAUUAAGAAGCGUUAAGAGUAAUCCAGUCAUUUGUAACACAGAAGCAAUUAAUUAGCGUUUAGAAUAAGUAAAUUUGGGAUGGCAUUGCUCAUUUUUGCAGCAUUAAAACUUUUUGCAGGCCAGCUGGGUGGAAGAGGAACACUUCUAUUAUUUGAAAGCUCUGCUGCUGGGAGGAAAACGUUGAGGGAAAGGAAGAGAGAGUACUCUAAAAGGAAGAAGCUAUGUGGAAACCUUUGGUGCUAAUGGAUCGGAUCCAUUUGCAGCCGUAGUGUUUGCAGACUGUCGUGUAUAAUGCAUUAUUGCGCAAAACACAAAAUGCUUAAAAGUAAUUUGUGGCAAUUUAGGUUUUAUCAUUGCUUGCACACUGCUCUGGGGGAAUGAGGAGCAAAAGACAAGCUCCCAGACAGGAGCGUUAAUAGCUUUAAAAGUGCCAGUUGCAGGCAGCUGGGUGAGGCUGACGACUGCAAGGCAGAGCUGGGCCUCGGGCAGAGGGGCUGGAAUGGGAGCAAUGUACCUUGCUGAGGGGUGGAGGGGGAGCAGCGUGGGGAAAGUAAAUGCUUAGUCCUCAUCACAGUAACUGCGUGGUAGCUCGUGUGGCAGUCUUUGGAAAAGAGCCCUAAACUGAAACGAGGUGCAUUCCUCACUGGCACAAGUUCUUUGGGGAUUUCUGUCUGAAGAAGGAGGGAGAAAAAGAAAGUAUGGGUAUAUAUACACACAAAAGAAGGCUUUCCUAAUGCAUUCUGUGCUGUGAUUACUGGGAGAUGCUCAGAGAGUCAAAAACUCCAUUCGUGUCAGUGUGACCAGAUUCUUACAGGCACUUCAAUGCUAACUUCUCGCUUUCUAGAUAAAUGCUUUGAGUCUGGAGCUGCUGGCUCUGCUCUGCGGGUGGAUGUCCCUCCUGUUCCCUUUCUCUGAAAUGUCUCAUCUUCGUCCUGGUCAGGAGGAGGUGGGAUUGCUGACUACAGCCUGUCCCCAGCAAAUUCUGGGGCAGAAAGACGCUUCCCACUUCUGGCAGGCUGUAUUUUGAUUGCCUGGUAUGGUUGAUAUUCGGCUGCAGGCUAAAAUCACAUUUACUGCAGUAGGCCUUCAGCAGAGAGUUGAUUGAGGUUUCAGUUCGGGCAACUGGAGCGUGUGUUCAAUGCUGAUGAUAAAUGACUGCGUAUAAGUACAGAGCUAAUUAUUAUUUUUGUUUAUUCCUUAAAAUGCUGCCUGAUCACCUGGACUGCCUGCUGCAGGUGUGUCAGUGCUGAAUGCUGCUGCCCCCUGCAUUUAGCGCUCCAAAGAGCCUCCUUUUUGGGCAUGGGCUGCGCAGCGUUGUUUGUAUGGGUGACACAUUGGAGGGCUGCUAGGACACGGAGUGCUGAACGCUCAGCUGUCGAGAACAUCGAUCUUUCUGCUGAGCCCAGGAAACUUAAUUAGCUUAUUUUAACAUUCCUCUUCAUCCUGUGGGGGUUAGAACUGAUGGUAGCUGGAGCUGCGGUUCCAUAUAGCUUGUUUCAUGUCACUAAUUAUUGCAUGUAAGUGGAUGGUACGCUCCGCUGGCAGCCUCUGCAGUGUGUUGGAGCAGUUGCUCUCCUUUUAUUUGCUGUCAGAAUGGUCUGAAACCUUCCCCUUCAAAGCAGCAGAAUCAUUCAGUUCUUGCUGGGUGUUGCUUAGGCAAACUGGUGAAGCAGUGCAGCUAGCACAGCCCUGCAGCAGCAUCAUGGUGCAGGCCAGGAGAUGGGCUCCGCGUGAAAGGAGAGUCUGAUUAAAAUCACUGAAGUUAAAAGCAAAUAAGAGGCAGCCUUAAACACAGGUGGUGGUACCAGCAGUCCCCAUCAUACACCUUUGAGGGUCCCUUUUCACUGACAGUGACCAUUCCAGUGUCAGGCUCCUCUUUGCAUCCGUAGUAUUUGCCCAGCAUACUCUGCUGAAAGACCUGCAAUAGGGGAGAGGGUGUGUAGGCAGGAUACGCAGAAGAGGCUACUUGAACAAGCUAGCUGCUGUUACUGCCCAAGCAUUUCUCACAGAAUGAAAGGCAUCACGAGAGGGGGUUAGCAAUGUGUGUGAUGUAACCUCUGCUAUUUAACGUGCGUCAAGGGGAGCAGGCUUCAGACUGCUGUGGAAGUGUGUAGCAUCUCAGUCCUUACAGUGCUGAGUUUGUGCUAAUCUGACUGAACAGGGACUAAAUAGAGUGUGUAUCUCUCUCUAUUUUUUUAUAGGAACAGAGAGUUUUCCUUGUUUAACAACCACACAGAGCACCCUAUCAUCUGCUUGAACAGGUAUGACCUUUUUUCUUGCUAGAGUAGUUCCACAAGGAGGCUGUUUGACCAGACCUUGAGGCUUGAGAAAAGAGCAAGCAAACUUCUCUAACUCCCACAACGCUUUAUUUUUCUGGGGUUAGUUCCCACUUGUGUUUUUGUUGGUGGUUUUUUUUAGUUCCGUCCUUGUUUUCUUUUACUUUAAAAGCCUCUCAUGUCUGAUGGGAGCCACUGUGCCUAUUGCCUAUGGUGCUGUCUUCUGGUUUGGCUUAGCGAGGACCUGCUUACAGCUCAGGGUGGAGAGAAGAGUGUUAAGGUGGUGUUGAUACUGAAGAAGAGCAUCUGAAAGAGGCGACGGUGCUGCUGCACCCAGCUCUGGUUCAGCAUGCCCUGUGCUGCGCUGUGCCACUGCAUUUGGGAAGAGUUUGGCAGGGCAAUGGUAAGCUUGUACUGCCCUGUUUUCAGAAUUGAAAAUGGUUGGGUUAGAUCCAAGAAAUGAACAUUUUCUCUUCUUUGGAGUUAUAGAGUAUUGUUAAAUUUCUUAGGUUUAUUCUGCUCUUUUGUGACCGAAGUACGUUUCCCUUGGUCCCACUGGGUAGCCUUUGCCAUGCUUCUGAGGCUGCCAGUCAGAUGGAAUAAGUACAAGUAUCAAACAGAACUUGAAAGGAAGGCAAGCUGAUACUACAGAAUGAAAAACCACUUAGCAUGAGAUCUGGCAUCUGUGUGGGUGUGCACACGUGCACUUGUAUAUAUAAGUGUAUCUGUUGGGUACAAGGCUGAUUUUGGAAUUUCUCUAGCUUUUACAACCCAUAAAUCUGCCCAUUUCCUGAACGGCCUCCUUGUUUAUGUCUAUCUGCAGUCUGUCCUGGCCCAAUGAGUUUGAAGGAAAUGUCCGUCAGGGAUCAGAUUUGUCCUUGUAAGUUCUGUGGGUGUAUAAAGGACAAGUAGCUCUUAGGCAAUCUGUGCCAACGCAGACCUGACAGCAAGAUAAGGGCUGUGUGUGCCAGCCUUUCCUGUCCCUGAGGGAUGUGCUGCUGGAGAAGGGACGCAGGCUUCUCCCACCCUACAUGCAUUUGCACUUGCUUAGACGCAUUCUAACCCUAAACAUCCAGGAGGGGUUCCUGGUGGCAGCAAUGUGCCCGAGGAUGUACCAGCACUUUGGGAAGGAACACUCAGCUCCUGGCAUGCCCUGGGGCAGCACGGCACUGCUUGUACUGAUCCUGUGUGCUUUGGGAAUUUUCCCAUGGCCCUGAAGUACCCUUGCAGCCACGCACAAGUAUGAAAUGGAGGAUUAAAUUAGCUUUGUAGAUUUAAAGUAACGGACAGUUUCAUUGCGGUCACCAUUUCUCUGCUGGUGAUAAAAUAAAUCCUCAGACAUCUGCUUUGCUGGGCUUAAGCAGUCUCUGCAUGCCCCAUAAUUAACUGACCGGUCUGAAUUAUUGCUCCUGAAAUAAGGAGAAGACCAUGGAGCACCCCAUAGCCUCUUGGUGCCACCCAGGUGUUUUAAGAAGAGGGCUUGAAGUGAAAGAGAGUGAAAGGCUUGUUCAUCAGAACUGGUAUUUUUUUGUGCAGGUUCCCUGCAUUGGUGGUGGGAUGAUAACAUCUCAUGAGCAUUAGCUGUCCUUUGUCCCUGUAAAGACUAAAAAAAGCAGUGAAAACUAGCAAAAAUAAUGAGCAGCAAAUGGGUGCUGGGGAAAGCUUUGAUAAGGGAGGUUGGUGCUCAGGGAAAGGAGCUUGUCCCAGCACAUCCUGCACGGGGGCAUCGCUGAGGCUGGGCUUGGGUGGGCACGGGAAGUGACACAACCAGCAAGGUGGCACAGAGAGGGCUGCAGGAGGGUGACAGAGCUCACACUGCUGAGCUGUGAUGUCAGUGCGGCCUGUUCCUAGCAUCUAGAGCUGAAGGCUUGGCUUCAGAAGCAGUAUGGCUUUCUGAUGGCGCUGUGUUGAUAUGUUUAUGGACAGCGUGGGACCAAGGAGGACCUGCAGCAUACUCAGAGAGAACAUUUGUACCCCUGCUGGCUCUGCCUUCUCUUUUCCCACGCUGCUGGCUUGUGUAUCUCCUGCUUGGCACUGGGAGAGCUGCAAGGAGGCAUCUCCACUGAGCAACUGUGGAAGGGUUGAAUAAGGCUCUUGGCACACCCGGUCUCACUUCCAGCAUGGCAUCCAGCCCUCCUUCAGCAGCAACCAGCCUCUUAAAAGUAGUCUCCUACUGACCAGUGGGCUGUUCUGCAACUGCACUGUGAGCUAGAAACCUCUCCCUAGCUUCCAGCUGAAAUUUGUCAAUGGCCACAGUGUUCUUGCACAAAACCAGCCUUUGUUUUUAUUCUCCUCUGUGUUUAUCCUUUGUCAUCAGUCUACUUUUUUCUUGCUUUGAAGGGAGUGCUGUUAUUGAUUGUAUAAUCAACCUGCCUCUUUCCUCCUUUCUUGUGAUCUUAAUAGUCAUUUUCUGCACUCUCCUUUGAAAACGCCUGUUUUGAACAAAAGCCAGAACAGCAGAACCAUCUUACUUGUAUUUAUCUGCUAUCAUCAGCAUUUGCUGCAUUUUGAAAGGCCUCGGGCAUGGUUGUUAAGCAAUGGAAAGGAAGGAGAAUGUCCCCUGUCACUAGUAAAUCGUGAUGAUGAUGGUGCUGGUGUUAGUAAUAAUCCUACCUUUCAGGCUGAGUCACUAGUAGAUGCUUCAAACCUGUUUACAGCCCAGAAGCAAGAUUGUUCAGGGAGGAUCUGACAGGCAGAGAUGACAUGACUUGCUGCAGCUUCUUGGUGAGCAGCUCACCAGCUCCUUGGGCCCAGGAGGUGGGCCAGAGAGCCCCGGGGAGAAGGGGAAAAUGUCUUCCUUCCUUUCCCCUGCAUAGUGCUGAACAGUGACAGGUUGGUUUGGAGGACGAGGUUGGCGAGGAAGGGAAGCUAGACUGUUCUGUGUAUUGCAGCUUGUGCUCAAUGCUUUUGUUGUGAUCAGCAGCUGGCAUCAGCACUAGGCCUGCCCACCGCUGUGCCAUAUUUCAGAGGAGCAAAAAUAAGAAAAGUGAGCUGGUGUUUCUAGAUCACAUGGAAACUUAAGAGCAGUGGAGAAGCAUAUUUUCUUUUGUAUCUCUGGCAGUAAAGUCAACAUAGUGCUUCCUGCAGCUCAAGAAGCGGUCCAGUGUGCUCAUGUUGAAUUUUCACAUAGCUUCCUAGUGCUGAGUUCCAUGGAAGUCUUCCACAAAGUGCGUGGCUCUGGCUGGUGGCAGGGCACAGGGAUCUGCUUUCACACCAGUGCUGGGGCUGGAAGUCGCUGCUGCCUGCCACGCCGUCGUGGAAAAAAUGAUCCCACUCCAAGAGGAUAGCUUUGAGUGUCUUUGUAGCACGAGGAGUCAUCAGCUGCUUCAGCAAUCCUGUCCCCUUUGGGCUCAGUGCUAGAAAACAUGCUCAGAGUUAAGGCUGAGUUACUGGGCGUAAGCAAUGAUGUUAGUAAACACGCUUCUGAAACAGAUAGUGGGAGUAAUGGGAGUGCUGUGAGCAUUCUGGCAUGAGAGGGGUUUGUGAGAGGCGCGGAUUCAUUUGUGUUGAGGAGUGAAGCUUAUGAGAAGAACAGAUGUUUGAAUCAUAAUGUUCUUUCCAGCACAGCUGAUGAAAGAAAACUCUUCAUAAUCGUGACCAGAAACUAUUCUAGUUGUCAUCCUUAAGAUGAGUCAUUUUUUUCCCUCCUUUCUAUCCCCUCUGAGACUCGGGUUCCUUCUGGAGCAGGAAGUUAUGAAUCAGUCCGUUCUCUGGCUCUGACACGCUGGGCAGCUGGAAGAAUUGCAUGGGGCGAGGGGUAACAGUGCAGGAGCCAAGCUCUGCUGGGGGCUUCACGUGUAAAGGGAGAGCUUGUCAUUAGAGAGACAGCUCGUUCUCUUCUUUGGUGUACAAAUCAUCUUCAGAUUUGCUAUCAGAUGGCCCCAGGGCAUUUGUGUAAUAACACUGUAAGUUUGCCUGCUGGGCCUUUUGCUGUGUUUGUGUGUGAUGUGUGGGGCAGAUCUCGAGGUGCUCAAUCAACACCCCUUUCUUAACCACAUGGUUGAUAAUGUUACCCCUACCUGUGUCUGUAAGACUCCUCUGUAGCACGCUGUAGUAACUCCCUGGUAUCCUUCUUUCAGUUAAAACCUUGUUGUGCAAAAAAAAAUGUUCCUUGCUUAUACAAUUACAUCAUUUUGCUGUGGAAAAAUUAUGAGAACACAGAAGGAGUUUGCUUCCACGUUAUGAAUGGAAUGAAAACAGAAUUAGACACAGCAGGAUCAAGUCUAGGGUUAAUGGCAGUGUGCCUGGGAGCGAGCUACUGUGUGCAACAGCUUUUGCUGUGACUCUUGUUAACGCUCUGCGAUUCAGUGCUCUAAGUACCAUAAUAUUAGCAACUAGGUGUCCAAGUCUGCCUUAGAUCACUGUUGUGUUAGAUGCUGUGUGCUCCAACAGUGGAGUUAUUCCAGAGCCCAGAGAGCUUACAGUCAGAUGUAGGAAGAGCCACAGAGAUGAGAGAAGCAGACAACAUGCUGGUAAGACCAUGUUUGGUGUAAUUACCAGCCGAGAGACCCUGUAGUUCACGCUGGGAAAUCAUAGAUGGAAAUCAGUACUCGUGUGUUGCAGUUCACUUGGGACGUAGUGGCAUGAAAACACAUACGUUAUGCAGCUAGCUAGGGAUCUAAUUCUGUUUCAUUUGUGGGUUGGUUUUUUGUUUUCCUUGUUAAAAUCCAGUGUACUGAGAGAUAGGAAAUACACGACACCAGUUCUGUCUCUCUGCAGUUUAGCAUGUUUUCCAUUAGGAAUAUGUUUUUCUAAUUCAGUGACAGCCCAGUUAGUAAUGCAGCUCCAUAUGCUGCAUAUUGACCAAUGCAGCAGAUAACUGAAGUGGACAAAAUAGUUCAGCUCCAUUAAGAAAUUAAUCUGAAGGUUUACCCUAAAAUGCAAUCAGACACCAUCCCUGUUCUUCCCCAGGUGCAGAAUUUAGGUAUUGUAUUUCAACUAGCAAUAAAAAUUAAACCAAGCAAAUUAAACCAAGAUAAGCUUUUUUUUUUUUUUUCUGGCCUGAACAAAGUGAGGAAGAUCUGGUAAAGCACUCCUUCUGCAACUUGAAUGUUUCUAUACCUUUCCGAGGAAAUGUACUUUGAAAUGCCUGAAGUUGAGUCUUCAAUUUGAGUUCAGCUUCAAUUCUGAUUUGAGUUCAGCUCGUUGUGGAUUGAACUGUUUUGUAAAUUAAAGUGAUCGGUGGUAUUUCACAAUGUAGGUUGGUGUCCAGGGCUGCAGGAGGAAUAAGGGCUGAGCUCUUCUCCUUCUAUCUCCAUCCACAGAGGCAUUCAUGUCUUUCAUCUCUUCUAGCCAUCUGUGGAUUUCCUAAGGUGGUAGGUAGGAGCUGAGUGUCUUCUGUCAAAUGUGACAGCAGUUGGCCAGUGUGAUUCACAGCGAUGUGUGUGAAUAGACACAGCAGACAGCAGAGACAGGCAACCGGAGCACAGGCAAUAAUGAGAGAAUUAGGGAGCAAGUAUUUUUGGGUUGUGUGAACAUUGACGCAUCUUCAGCUGAACUAACUGAUGGCAUCAAGCUGAAGGUUGGCAAUGCUGCUUUAAUGUCAGGAAGAAAUUUUAAGGGCCUGUUACGUAGCUGUGGAGAGAGGUUGGAAGCAGGGACUACGUGCAUACCUUGUGAUUUAUGGCACUACUUGUGGAUUCUGGCACUUCAACAUAUCACAUUUUUAAUUGCUACCAAAGGCAGUUGUUUGUAAAAGGAGUUUUAGAAUUGAGCAGCUGUCAGAAGAAGAAAUGCAGAAAGCUUUAUAUAGAUAACUGGAGAAAGGCGGAAGGUGUUAUGGGGAGGCUGUGAGGGUACUAGGUUGUUUAGAGGCAAUCUAGUUGGUCAGGACAGCAGCCUUAUAGACAUGGAAUAAUUUCUCUUCUCCCUUCCCUUCCCUUCCCUUCCCUUCCCUUCCCUUCCCUUCCCUUCUUCUAUAUGAGCACCAUCAACAGGGGCUCCUUAAUGUCGUGGGUGGGCUGCAGCCUUCAUCUGAGACUUCACAUACAGGUUUUGAACUGGGGAUGUUCUUGACAGCAAGGGCUUUAAGGGUUCCUUUCAGCAGGACCAGGGGCCAGGGCAGAGUUUCUGAGCUCUCAGGGAUCGGGUAAGUUGAAGAUCCAAAGCUCCAGGCUGCUUCUUUUUGCAGAGCAUUCAAGGAGGCACAUCAUGUCUUCAUCCCCUCUGCUUCUCCAGCAUGCUCAGGAGGCCAUUCCAGCACUGAUGUCAGAGGCCAGUAUUGCAAUCCUCUCCUUUUGGGUUACCGCAUGAAAAAGUUUGUCAUGCUGCCUCCAGGCAGAUGCUGUGUCUGGUCAGUGUCCUUCCUUGAACAAAACUUUCUGAAAUCUGGAUGUGAAGACAUUGGUUGGGAGCCAGAGCAUCCUCACACAGAUGUAAAGAGACAGCCCUUGCCCUGAAGGAUUUGCAGCACAAACAGGCAAGUUACAGACAGCGUGAAUGUGAUAAUUCAUGUUUUACAGAGGGGAGAACUGAAGCAUGGGCUUAUUUAUUCGUAAGUUCAAGGUCAUGGAGCAGGUGAAGAGCAGAGCCCUGGACUGAACUCUGAUCUUGCAGCUCGGUGCCUUAGAUGUAGAGCUGUUCUGCCCUGGGAAGAUCCUCAUUACUAUAAGAACAUAAACAAGGUCUGCUCUGAAGGUACUGCCUCCUAUUUUAUGAUGUUGGCCCACAGCAUCAGAGGUGGAAUGUUGGUGGUAUGGCAGUAGAGGUUGAACUGUCCCACCAAUAUUCUGUUACACUGUGUUGCUGUGUGACAGAUGGCAGCAGAGGGACAGGCUGACAGAAUGGUGUCUGACACAGAAGAGCAUAUGAAGCAAAGGUGUGUCCUUGAAUUCCUCCACACUGAAAAAAUGGUACUCACUGGCAUUCAUUGACACUUGGUUAACAUUUAUGGAGACCAAGCAGUGGGUGUGAGCACAGGGAGGCAGUGGGUGGUGUGUUUCAGCAGUGGUGACAGUGACGGUGGGUCACCUCUGCUGGUGCAGAUUGUUAUGAGUAUGGCAUGCAGGCUCUCCUUUGGUUGCUUUUAGCAAACUGUAUGCAGCUAAUGCCCAAUGGAAGAGGACAAAUUGGCAGCAAAUAAUAAAUUACAUUAAUCCAGAGAAGAGGUGAGACAAUCAUAGUCUCAGCAGUCCAUAGAUAAUAAAAUGGAAAUCUCUUUAUUCAGUAAAGUACCUUAUAAUUGCUAAUGUUAUUAAUCUCCUGGAAAAUCCGUGUCUGUGAAAAAUAAGCCAGGCUUUUCCUUGAACACAAAGUAGAGAAAUGUUGUUUUCAUCACCCGGAGGUCUGGAUAAUCAUGACAUUUGUCUUCCUCUUCUUUUAACCUUUGUGGGAGCAGGAUUCCAGGUUCACUGCAGUUAGCAGAAAGAAAUAGAGAAGGUAAGGUGGAAAAAAGAUGACAGUGAUCCCACUGAGCUGGUCCUGCUGGCCUCAGCCAGCGCUCUCAGACCUCUUUGCACCACAUUCCACCCCCAUCUCUGAAAUGCUCAUUGGCCUCUGUGUAUGUUUUGCUGCAUGUUUGAGAGUUUCCAGCAGCCCCCAAAUACCCUUCUGUGCCAUUAAGUCCAUGUGGUACUAUUUCCACUCAUACCCCGAGCAACUCAUAGGGGGCACCACCAGCUUCUGUUGUCCAUGAUGUCAGAUCAUAGGUUUGUCAGCUCCUCUGGUGGAGAAUGCAUUGUUUUCUAUGGUGGAUAGAACAGUUAAUGAUGUUGUAUGCAAAUGCAGGCGAAGAAAUAGCAGAACUACCUGCUCCACUGAUGGAGCAUAGGACCAUUUUUUUCCACUUUCUUUCAGCUCAGUUUGCAUUUC
rnacentral:lncRNA from 1 species